UACGUAGGGUGCAAGCGUUGUCCGGAAUUAUUGGGCGUAAAGAGCUCGUAGGCGGUCUGUCACGUCGGAUGUGAAAAUCCAGGGCUUAACCCUGGACCUGCAUUCGAUACGGGCAGACUAGAGUUCGGUAGGGGAGACUGGAAUUCCUGGUGUAGCGGUGAAAUGCGCAGAUAUCAGGAGGAACACCGGUGGCGAAGGCAGCUCUCUGGGACGGUACUGACGCUGAGACGCGAAAGCGUGGGGAGCAAACAGG
rnacentral:rRNA from 1 species